ACAUGCCUACAACAUAGCGUUAAUGCACUGGAUCCCAUUAGAACUCUGUACUUAAUUGCACUCAGGCUAGAGUAGUGUUGGGAUGGGUGAUCACUCGGGAAGUCCUAGUGUUUUACAUGCC
rnacentral:rRNA from 1 species